AUGGACAUCUUGGACGCUAACCCAAUCUCCUUCUCCGCCUUCCCCGACGACAAGGCGGUGUUCGAGCCGCUCAACCCCGAAGAUGUCCGUGCAUACCUCCACAAGGCCGUCGACUUCAUCUCUGACUACUACACCAACAUCGAGUCUAUGCCGGUUCUGCCCAACGUGAAGCCGGGAUACCUGCAAGACGAGCUGAGCGCGUCCCCGCCGACCCACUCCGCAUCAUUCGAUGUCACCAUGAAGGAGCUCAGGACCUCCGUUGUCCCCGGCAUGACACAAUGGGCUAGCCCCAAUUUCUUCGCCUUCUUUCCCUCCACCAACAGCGCCGCUGCCAUCGCCGGCGACCUCAUCGCCUCUGCCAUGAACACUGUUGGAUUCAUGUGGCAGGCCUCGCCCGCGGCAACCGAGAUGGAGCUUCUCGCUCUUGACUGGCUUGCGCAGCUUCUGCGCCUACCCACCACCUUCAUGAACCGCACCAGUACUGGACGUGGCACUGGCGGUGGUGUCAUCCUCGGCACAACCAGCGAGGCAAUGCUUGUCACGCUAGUGGCCGCUCGUGAUGCAGCGCUGCAUCGGAGCGGCUCAGUCGGCGUGUCCCACCUACCACGCUUGGCUGUCUAUGCUGCCGACCAGACCCACUCCACGUUCUUCAAGGCAUGCCGCCUCGCAGGUUUCGACCCCGCCAACAUCCGCUCAAUCCCUACUGGGCCGGAAACUAAUUACGGGCUCAACCCGUCCAAGAUUCUCGAGGUAAUGCAAGCUGAUGCCGAUGCCGGUCUCGUGCCCACAUAUGUCUGUGCCACGGUGGGCACCACAUCUUCCAAUGCCGUCGACCCAGUGGGCGCCAUCGCCGACGUUGCCGCCAUGUUCAAUGCAUGGGUCCAUGUCGAUGCUGCCUGCGCCGGCAGUGCGUGUAUCUGCCCAGAGUUUCGCCACCAUCUCGAUGGCGUCGAGCACGUGGACUCCAUUAGCAUGAGCCCACACAAAUGGCUUCUCACGUGCCUCGAUUGCACCUGUUUGUACGUCCGUGAUGCUCACCGACUUAGUGACUCAUUGGAGACCAACCCGGAGUACCUCAAGAAUGACGCUACCGAGUCCGGUGAGGUCACCGAUCUGAAAGACAUGCAGGUCGGCGUUGGUCGGCGCUUCCGCGGGCUCAAGCUUUGGAUGGUCAUGCGCACAUAUGGUACCGCAAAGCUCCAAGAGCACAUCCGUAGUGAUGUCGCCAUGGCCAAGAUGUUUGGAAGAUUUCGUCCGCGCCGACAACAGGUUCGAGGUGGUUGUACUCAGGAACUUUGCUCUUGUGUGCUUUAG
rnacentral:rRNA from 1 species